rnacentral:rRNA from 1 species
CCCUACGGGAGGCAGCAGUGGGGAAUAUUGGGCAAUGGAGGCAACUCUGACCCAGCAACGCCGCGUGAGUGAUGAAGGUCUUCGGAUUGUAAAACUCUUUAAGUGGGGACGAAGAAAGUGACUGUACCCACAGAAUAAGCCUCGGCUAACUACGUGCCAGCAGCCGCGGUAAUACGUAGGAGGCAAGCGUUAUCCGGAAUGACUGGGCGUAAAGGGUGCGUAGGUGGUUUGACAAGUUAGUAGCGUAAUUCCGGGGCUCAACUUCGGAACUACUACUAAAACUGUUGGGCUUGAGUGCAGGAGAG